AUACAGCUAUCAUACCGAUCUCAUUAUUAUGGUGACUCAUCAGAAUCUUGCAUGCAUGCCUAGGUUUUACAGCCAUUGGGUGCCAUGAAAGGAGAAAUUUGUUUUGCCUGGCAGGCAUUGUCACUGACAAUGUGAGACAUGGGAUUAUUUUUGCUUCAUUUACUUUUUGUCAAACCUUGGUAAUGUUUCCUUUCCUCCACCUGUAUUUGCCAUCUGGCACCAUAACUUCGUCUCAGACCCAAACCCCUGUCAAAUCGAUGGCCUGGAGAACGUGGUCUGAAAAAGCGGUAACAGCAGAAUGACCCUGCCGGUGUGUGCGGCGAUAAGGAGAGAUCACCUGACCUGCUGUUCCCUCCUUUGGCCAGUGGGAUUUUGGCACACAGCUGAAUCGUUCCAUGACAUUCCUCAAGUUGUUUCAGAGCAGAGGUUCAAGACCUGCCUUAAUCCUAACUCUGCCUCCAGCCUUAAAAGUCUCAAGAGCUGAAACCAAACCAAACCAGCAGAACAUUGGUUUCUCUCUUCUUUUUUUUGGUAGGCUCAUUUUCAAGUACAGCUUAAUAGACGACGUCUGACUUUCCUUCUUUCUGAGGCUUUGGUAUGCCGUAACGGCAAUCAUUGAUAAUAAAACAGAUCAGUGAAACUAUUAGUUUCCAACAACUUAAUAUAUAGAAUCCUGUAAAAUACUACGGAGUACUUCAUCGUGGAUAGUGCUAUCAAUUAAAUAGUCGUGAUGGCUGCAUGUGUAGGCCAUGUAUAGGGAGGCAGUAUGUCUCUGAAUAUCAGUUGUUAAGGAACAACGGUGGGUAUAGGCUGUUGUUCUCAUGUCCUGCUUGUGGACACUGUGGGGAACAGGAUGCUAAUCAGAUAAGGCCUUUGGUCCGAUCCAUCAGGGCUCUCUUUAUGUUCUCUCUAGCAGUGGCCUCCCUUGAUAUACUGAUAUUGCUAGACUGUACCACUUAAGACUUCCGAUGAGGGAACUAAAUGUUUCCUUGCUCUCCCAGUGCUACAGUCUAUAUAAAAAACACACAUAUGCAUAUAGAACCAGCCUUGGCUAAUCAAACAAUCUAUGGUCUCGUAAGCUCUUGUGCAGGGGUCAGCAAACUUUUUCAGCAGGGGGCCGGUCCACUGUCCCUCAGACCUUGUGGGGGGCCAGACUAUUUUUUGGGGAAAUGAACGAAUUACUAUGCCCCACCAAUAACCCAGAGAUGCAUUUUAAAUAGAAGGAUACAUUCUACUCAUGUAAAAACACGCUGAAUCCCGGACCACCCGCGGUCCGGAUUUAGAAGGCGAUUGGGCAGGAUCCGGCUCCUGGGCCUUAGUUUGCCUACCCAUGCUUGUGUGUGUGUGAUUGUUUUUGUUUGUUACCAUGUUACAUAUUUUCGUGUUUUUAUCACCCUGUGAUCCUUGAAUGAUAGGCGGCAUAGAAAAUAAAUAAAGGGAGGCAGGAAGGCUACUUCAGCCAGCUUAGUCAGUCAAUUAAUGAGCAACGCCUUUAGUUUUUUUAGAACUAUAUGGACAUUUUAUAUCUCAGGGAAGUAAUGAUAUUGGGCCAUAGCAUACUUUUGCUUUUGAGUUUCAAGUCCUCAUGCUCAAGAUAGGUUGAGAAUCAUUGUAAUAGAUCUUAGAUCGUCUUAGAGUGCUUACACAUAGGCUGAUAUUUCUGGGUGCAAGAAUUCUUUUAUUCUCCUGAUGAAUCCUUUGCUGUUGUUUUUGGUUGGUUUCUAGUUAGUAUUAUUCUUGUGGGUAUUGCAUUCUUCAUCGUUCCUUUGGGUUUUGCAUUCUCUUUAAUUGUACAUAAGCUCAACAUGGUUUUAUUUUGUUUCCACAAAGACUUGAAUACAGAAUUUAUGAAGGUAAUCUUAUCCAUGCGGUUUGGCCCAGAUUCAGUUACUGUUGCAAGAGAAUUCAGAUUUUUUUGUUGUUCUUUGAUGUUCGCGGUGUGACUGGUGCAUUUUUAUCUGUGGCAUCACCGUAAAGGAAUACAAAUAAAUCUUGUUCACCUGGCCUUGCUAAUUGCAGCUCUCUUCACUGUUAACUGUUGUUUGAAAUUUGAACUCCUGGUGCUCUGAACCUGUGCCAAGAAGUGAAGGCUAUUGUUCACUUGGAAAUAGCAAGCCGUUUGACAAAAGGUCAACCUGCAGACUUCAGCACUAUUUAAAUUCUAUUCAUUAACUUCCUAAAGGAAGAUUACGUUCCAUGAAGAUGGUCUGGCACCAAAUGGAUAUUCCAUUAAUAAACACAC